rnacentral:tRNA from 1 species
GCCCUAGUAGCGCCGUCGGUUAGCGUGUCAGUCUCAUAAUCUGAAGGCCGUGAGUUCGAGUCUCACCUGGGGCA